CGGGAUGUAGCGUAGCCCGGUAUCGCGCCAGCAUGGGGUGCUGGAGGUCGGAAGUUCGAAUCUUCUCAUCCCGACGA
rnacentral:tRNA from 1 species